rnacentral:misc_RNA from 1 species
GUCGGGAUUUUCCGCCGAGCAUGUCGUCGAGCUGCACGGCAACACCACCUACGCGCGCUGCAUCGGAUGUGGACAACGCUACGAGAUUGCGUGGGUAAAGGGACGUUUCGACGAGACCGGCAUUGCGCCUUCAUGCACCACCUGCGGCGAACCGGUGAAGUCGGCGACGAUUUCGUUCGGCCAGUCGAUGCCGGAAGAUGAAAUGCGCCGCGCGACGGAGCUUGCGCAGUACUGCGAUCU